rnacentral:ncRNA from 1 species
AUGUCGGCCGUAACUAUAACGGUCCUAAGGUAGCGAAAUUCCUUGUCGGGUAAGUUCCGACCUGCACGAAUCGUGCAACGAGAUGGGCGCUGUCUCAACCAGGAGCUCAGUGAAAUUGUAACACCGGUGAAGAUGCCGGUUACCUGCAGAAGGACGGAAAGACCCUAUAGACCUUAACUGUAAGCUGUUACUGUUUAUUUGAUUUCAAUGCUCAGCAUAAGUGGGAGGCUUUGAAGCGGCGUUUUAGGGCGUCGUGGAGCCGCCAGUGAGAUACCACCCUUUGGUAUUGGAUGAUCUAACCCCGAGCCGUUAUCCGGCCGGGGGACCCUGGCAGCCGGUCAGUUUUACUGGGGCGGUAUCCUCCUAAAGAGUAACGGAGGAGCGCGAAGGUGGGCUCAGCGCAGUUGGCAACUGCGUGUCGAGUGUAAAGGCACAAGCCCGCCUAACUGUGAGACCUACAAGUCGAGCAGAUACGAAAGUAGGCCUUAGUGAUCCGGCGGUUGAAUGUGGAAUUGCCGUCGCUCAACGGAUAAAAGGUACCUUAGGGAUAACAGGCUGAUCGCGCCCAAGAGUUCAUAUCGACGGCGCGGUUUGGCACCUCGAUGUCGGCUCGUCGCAUCCUGGGGCUGGAGAAGGUCCCAAGGGUCCGGCUGUUCGCCGGUUAAAGCGGCACGCGAGCUGGGUUCAGAACGUCGCGAGACAGUUCGGUCCUCUAUCCUCUGUGGGCGUAGGANAAUUGANGGGUUCANNNNNUAGUACGAGAGGACCGNNNNUGACGCACCUCUGGUGUUCCAGUUGUUCUGUCAAGGGCAUUGCUGGGUAGCUAAGUGCGGAACGGAUAAGCGCUGAAAGCAUCUAAGCGCCAAGCCACUCCUGAGAUUAAUUUUCCCUGAAGGAUCGUGGAAGACCACCACGUCGAUAGGCUGGGGGUAUAAGUGUAGUAAUACAUGUAGCUCACCAGUACUAAUCAUCCGAUCGACUUAAUUCC